UACGUAGGGUGCGAGCGUUGUCCGGAAUUAUUGGGCGUAAAGGGCUCGUAGGCGGUUUGUUGCGUCGGGAGUGAAAAACACUGGGCUUAACCGAGUGCUUGCUUUUCGAUACGGGCAGACUUGAGGCAUUGAGGGGGAGAACGGAAUUCCAGGUGUAGCGGUGAAAUGCGUAGAUAUCUGGAGGAAUACCGGUGGCGAAGGCGGCAUCCUGGACCGGCAUUGACGCUGAGUGAGCGAAAGCCAGGGGAGCAAACGGG
rnacentral:rRNA from 1 species